AAGACUAUACUUUCAGGGAUCAUUUCUAUAGUUUGUUACUAGAGAAGUUUCUCUGAACGUGUAGAGUACCCAGAACCACGAGGAGGAGACGUAGUACCCUUUUCUGAGCGUGAAGCUGACUCUGGGCGUUGUUUUGCUUGCAACUGCUCUUUGUCAUUGAUGAUCGUUCUGCCUUUCUAUUUAGAAAGGUAAGAGGGAAAGGGUGCCGUCUGAGUGG
rnacentral:snoRNA from 1 species